UCAAGCUACAAAGAGCCAAUGGUGGAUGCCUUGGCACUAGAUGCCGACGAAGGACGUGGGUGACUGCGAUAAGCCACGAGGAGUUGUCUACCUAGCGUUAUAACUCGUGGAUCUCCGAAUAGGAAAACCUAAUUACGUUUAACCGUAGUUAUUCCACACUGAAAACCGAAAGGCCAUAGGUGUGGUAAAGGGAACUGGGCGAAUUGAAACAUCUCAGUACCCCAAGGAAAAGAAAGCAAACGCGAUUCCCUUAGUAGCGGCGAGCGAAGAGGGAUGAGCCUAAACCUAUAGUGUGAUAUAGCCUGGCGGCGAUGCAUUAUGGGGGUUGUGGGACUCAAUAGAACUAGCGCCUGAUAGUUCACGAAGUUACAAAAGUUAUAUAUAACAGAAGAAGUCUGGAAAGCUUCACCGCAGAGGGUAAUAGUCCCGUAUGUGAAAUGUAUAACCCUUCGAUUGAUGUUCCCGAGUAUCACGGGAUCCGAGAAAGCCCGUGUGAAUCUGUGAGGACCACCUCAUAAGGCUAAAUACAAUCUAGUGACCGAUAGUGUACAAGUACCGUGAGGGAAGGGUGAAAAGAACCCCGAGAGGGGAGUGAAAUAGAACCUGAAACCAUUGGUUUACAAUCCGUUAAAGAGUCGGAUAAGAAUUUAUUCUUAUCUCUCAAUAGCGUGCCUUUUGAAGAAUGAGCCAGCGAGUUACCGUUUGUGGCAAGGUUAACCCGAGAGGGGAAGCCGAAGCGAAAGCGAGUCUGAAUAGGGCGUACUAGUCGCAGGCGGUAGACCCGAAGCCGGGUGAUCUAUCCAUGAGCAGGGUGAAGCGGAGGUAAGACUUCGUGGAGGCCCGAACCCACCCUAGUUGAAAAUAGGGGGGAUGACUUGUGGAUAGGGGUGAAAGGCCAAUCAAACCCGGUGAUAGCUGGUUCUCCCCGAAAUGCAUUUAGGUGCAGCGUCGUGAGUUCAGUAUCGGAGGUAGAGCUACUGGAUGGUUUAGGGGGCCUACAAGCUUACCAACAUCAGCCAAACUCCGAAUGCCGAUACUCCAGAUCACGGCAGUGAGACUAUGGGGGCUAAGCUUCAUAGUCGAGAGGGAAACAGCCCAGAGCGCCAACUAAGGUCCCAAAUUUAUACUCAGUGGUAAACGAUGUGGGAAUGCCUAGACAGCCAGGAGGUUGGCUUAGAAGCAGCCAUCCUUGAAAGAGUGCGUAAUAGCUCACUGGUCGAGUGUUCCUGCGCGGACAAUGUAACGGGGCUCAAGUAUAAAACCGAAGUUGCGUCAUUAGGAUAAUUUAUUAUUACUGAUGGGUAGGGGAGCGUCGAGUUCGACUGUGAAGCCAGAUGAUAACGUCUGGUGGAGUGGACUCGAGUGAGAAUGCUGGCAUGAGUAGCGAACGAAGGGGGAGGAACCCUUCCUCCGAAUAUCCAAGGGUUCCUGGGCAAGGCUCAUCCGCCCAGGGUUAGUCGGGAGCUAAGGCGAGGCCGAAAGGCGUAGUCGAUGCACAACUGGUUGAUAUUCCAGUACCACCAUAUUCGCGCCCAGCCUAAGCUAAUUUGCUAAGUGGCUGUUAAUUUAUUAACGAAACGACCCAAUUAGUGCAUGGUAAUUGUAGGGGGACGCAGGAAGGUAGAUCUGACAGGUGAUGGUUAUCCUGGAAGUAAGUAAGUAGGGAGUGUGAUAGGAAAAUCCGUUGCACAUUAAUCCUGAGAUACGACACGUAGCCGAUUUAGGCGAUUUGAUUGAUCCUAUGCUGCCUAGAAAAGCCUAGCAAUGAGUUAAUAUGGUGCCCGUACCCCAAACCGACACAGGUAGAUAAGUAGAGAAUACUAAGGAGAGCGAGAUAACUCCGGUUAAGGAACUCGGCAAAAUGCCCCCGUAACUUCGGGAUAAGGGGGGCCUCAGUAAAGUGAUUGUCUUCGCGACAUGAGCUUGAGGAGGCCGCAGUGACUAGAGCCAAGCGACUGUUUACCAAAAACACAGGUGCAUGCGAAGCCGUAAGGCGAUGUAUAUGCACUGACGCCUGCCCAAUGCUGGAAGGUCACGGAGAGAGGUUAGCGCUUGUCGCGAAGCUUCGAACUUAAGCCCCAGUGAAUGGCGGCCGUAACUAUAACGGUCCUAAGGUAGCGAAAUUCCUUGUCGGGUAAGUU
rnacentral:rRNA from 2 species